rnacentral:misc_RNA from 1 species
GUAGGUGAACCUGCGGAAGGAUCAUUAACAAUUUGUGCGUUUGCACACAUUUGCCCGGCCGCAAGGCUAGGAUUGGAGGAGGAGAUGGCGACGUCUCUGCAUCUGGGGUUGGAGUCUGCGUCUUAGGAUGGAGGCUCUGCAUCUAGGAUUGGAAAUGGCAACGUCCCCUCCCCUACAUAGACGAUUGUUUGUAUGACUGUGAGAUGUAAGGACAAAAAACAACUUUUAACAAUGGAUCUCUUGGCUCUUG